GAUAGUGUUGCAAUAAUCCAUAGGUAGCUGCUGGUGUUUGGGUGUUGGCCAAGAAAACGCAAUAAUUUUGGUGCUGGCGAACGCAUUUACCGUAGUUACACGGAUCGUCUCACGGCCACGAGGUCUCCCAAGCAAAACGUUUUAGCUACGUGCAAGUUCUUUGUUGCGUAUGCGCAUUAAAUUUUUGAUCGUUUAGUUACAGGUAAUUCCUGUUCUUGUAACCAUCUGACUUCGGAUACCAUUGAGCCAGCAAUUUAAGCAACGGUCUCCCUCACUACGAAUUACGGUUAAGACGUUCGUUAAAAUAUAUUAUCUCUUGCACCAAGUCGUAAAGAUACGGGUGAACGAUAAUACAGUGCAAAAUGGCAAUUCCAGCCUUA